rnacentral:lncRNA from 1 species
GGCUGAUGUUCCGGUUGCCCCGGCAACAUGGCCGAAGAAACAGAAAAAGUGAGAAGGUGUCUGCCAGGCUAGGGGAGUCUGCCGGGACACUACUCAUGAGUUCCUGGAAGAAGUACAGAUCCCAGGUCCUGGUGGCCAAAUGCUGGGGGGGAAACUAUGUUGUGGUGAACGAGGCAAAAACCAAACUAAACCAAGGCGAUGCCAAAGCCGUAUGUGAUGCCAAGGGUUAUUACCCAAUGAUGAGGGCUAUCCUGAAAUGCCUACUCAAGGAGUUCAUGUUUGCAACCAACUGGUUCAUCUGGCAGAAAGGGUACUUACGUGUUGCCAGGAUGGAGGCUGAGCUCUGUGACCUCUCCCCUAGGAGGGAUGGCAAGGACUGCUGGUUUCUGGUUCUGCAUGUGCAAGUAAAAAGCUGA